rnacentral:rRNA from 1 species
UAGAAUUCCACGUGUAGCGGUAAAAUGCGUAGAGAUGUGGAGGAAUACCGGUGGCGAAGGCGGCCUUCUGGACAGAUACUGACGCUGAGAUGCGAAAGCGUGGGGAGCAAACAGGAUUAGAUACCCUGGUAGUCCACGCUGUAAACGAUGUCGAUUUGGAGUUUGUUGCCUAGAGUGAUGGGCUCCGAAGCUAACGCGAUAAAUCGACCGCCUGGGGAGUACGGCCGCAAGGUUAAAACUCAAAUGAAUUGACGGGGGCCUGCACAAGCGGUGGAGCAUGUGGUUUAAUUCGAUGCGACGCGAAGAACCUUACCUGGUCUUGACAUCCACAGAAUCUUGCAGAGAUGUGAGAGUGCCUUCGGGAACUGUGAGACAGGUGCUGCAUGGCUGUCGUCAGCUCGUGUUGUGAAAUGUUGGGUUAAGUCCCGCAACGAGCGCAACCCUUAUCCUUUGUUGCCAUCGGUUAGGCCGGGAACUCAAAGGAGACUGCCGUUGAUAAAGCGGAGGAAGGUGGGGACGACGUCAAGUCAUCACGGCCCUUACGACCAGGGCUACACACGUGCUACAAUGGCGUAUACAAAGGGAGGCGACCUCGCGAGAGCAAGCGGACCUCAUAAAGUACGUCUAAGUCCGGAUUGGAGUCUGCAACUCGACUCCAUGAAGUCGGAAUCGCUAGUAAUCGUGAAUCAGAAUGU